GAGAGAGAGAGAGAGAGAGAGCCAGAGAGAGAGAGAGGACAGCCUGAAUGAAAGUUAUAAAUAGUCAGGAGGCUUGCAGCUGUUGGGUUUUAUCUGAAGAGGCUGACAUUCCUGAUAUCCGGAGCAGGAGAGCUGAGCACCUCACACUGACACAGAGCAGGAGCACAGAAUGAGAGAGCCAGCAAAACAAGACUGAGAAAAGGCAUCCUGAUGACUGAAGUGAGAAGAGCCCUGUAUAAAUAUGAUGAAAUAAACUCUCCAGACUCAGACUCUGGGGAACGCUCCUGUCUGCGUUUUUAGGUGUAGCACUGAGGUCAGGUUGAAAGCUGGGCUUGACAAUGUGCACAGGAGGUUUGGACGACCUAGAGCUGCCCGUGGCUCUAACUACAGACCUCCCUCGUAUCACACACAGGAUGGACAGUAAAAGGAGAUCAUCUCACUCAGUUUGACUCUAACACACCUUUGGCUUCAUGCCUUCACGUCAGAGAGGAUUCAGAGCUUUUAGUAAAUAGAUUUGCCUAAAAUACACAGCACAAACACAGAGUGAAAUCCCAAAGCCACACAGCAAACGUGUUGCAAUACUGCUGAUGUCCACUAGAGGGAAGCAGAGUAACAGGAGUGCAAUAAGUGCUGUAAUCUCAGCCCAAGUCUGACUUUGUAACAAUCCAACAAUCCAUAACUAUUAUGGCUAGGUCAGAGAAUUUCGUUGACCUCUGGUAUGACAUGUUCAUCCAUGUUUGUUUUUUUUUGUAAAGCCACGUUGAGUAUAAGAAAUGUGCUAUAUAAAUCAAACUAUUAUUAUUA